CUGCUCGCGGCCCGGGACUUCAGGGACGGCUCCCCUCAUAGCACCGGGGACUUGGACCGAGGAGGCCGAGGGAACUGGGCGGACGAAGGGCCCCCAAGUUGGAGGGUGUUCUCGGAAAAUGAGGAGUCGCCAGCCCCGGCGGCUGGGGGAAGAAGGCGUGCGACGGCUGCCUCCUGCUCCUCGUGAUGAGAACUUCCGGAGUGAGCGCGGUGUGGGGGAUGGACGGGGUGAGCUUCCGGGAAGACGUGUGUGCUGCGCGGGAACCUGCUGAUUGAUUACACUUCUGCCUGCUUCUCGGGGCCUGAAAUGUCGUUCGUUUUAGAACCUGCCAGGUCUGCUGGGUUGAAUCGCUGACCCGCACAAGACCCCGUUUUGCAUGGAUGUGAAUAAAUGGAGUCAGACUCCAAGGAGACUUUCCGCACACUGUUUUCUGUGCCCAGUGACGUGUGUCUGUGCGUCGCCUCUGCUUCUGAGAUGCGUGGAUGGCAGCACCGUUCCCCAGGAAGGUGGCUCACAGAGCCACUUACACAGGAGGUGUGAGCGCUGGGGGCCUGUCACCCUUGGGAGCAUGAACUGUCCAGAAAUGACCAUCGCCUCGCUGAGCUGAUGGGCAGGGGUGGCUGGUGCGGGUCAGGGUGGUGGUCACCUUGUUCAGAGGAGCCACGUCCCUGUUUACCUUGAUUUCUUCGGUAAAUGGGCCAACAGUCAUGAUGGUGACUCCUGCCAGGCGGGCCUGGCGAGGGUGCGACAUGAGCAGGCCCAGUGACCCCUCGGGAGCACUUCGGACGCGUGCGUGACCAUCGCUCACCGUCAGUUACACUCGCCUGGGAUUUCAGCGCGUUGCCAGCUCUGAUGGUCCAGGUGCUGUGGGAGGGUUCGGGGUCUGGGCACUGCCUGCUCCCAAGUGGGGGUGUCUGUGGGCUCUUGGCCUUUCACCCUCAUAGUGUUCACGUUUGGGCCACUGACUACUUACUUGUCUUUCGAGGGAGAAAGUGUAAUGACUGCCUGUCACACAUUGUGUUAGAUGGGGCGGAUACUGGGUAAUUGGUACAUGACUGGUAUUUCUGGAAUAAAUGUGGAUGCCCGGUCGCUGCCUCUCGAGUGCAGAUGUCGCUUCCUCACCGUGGCUGCGGGGCCGCCUGGCCUGUCUGGCCUGGUGUCAGCCUGGCCCAGCAGCUGGGGGCCCCGCGUCUGCAGUCUCGGGUGGGGAGCGGGUCAGCCUUUGGUUUGGCAGGUUAAUCAGAAGCGUUAGGUCCUGAUCAGCUUCCCCUGAGCUGUGCCUGGUAUUUCUGCUGUGACACGGUGCAUAGGAAGGCGGGGUCCUUCGCCUGCCUCUGCUUUCUCACUUGCUGGGACACUGAUCGACCGAGGAGGGUGUGAGUAUCCCCAUUGGUCGGUCUGGGACUUAGGGUGGAAGAGCCUGCAGAGAAGAGGGAGGUGAGGACGAGGAGUGACUAUCCCACGCAGGGGACAAGGGGACACGGAAGGCCUGGGGAGCAGUUACAGCAAGUCAAGGUCCGGCACUUCUCUCUCUGUCCACCAGAGGGCGCAGCCUCACACCAGACUGUUCCCUUUUGUAACUCGAUACAGCUUUUUGGGUUUUCUUUUGUAAUUUAGCCAGGACCUUAUUUCACUGGAAAGUUAUGUAGGAAGUUCAUCUGCAGGGUUGGGAUCUCUCUUUGGAAUCUGCCAGGGUGCCCAGUGGCAUACAGUGCCCGGGAGUGUUAGGAUGUCACGACAUGGACCCCCAACCAGACGCGGUCACGGGACGUGGCUGGGCCCGUGGCACUUGGGGAUGAGAGCGCGUUCCAAUGUGGCUUUCGGUGGAGAUUCUCUGCGGGUGACGACGGCCGUGUCACUCAGCACAGCCUGAGGAAGAGGGUGGGUGCAGUGCAUACCAGUAUCUGAAGUCCCGGCCAGCGUGUCGGGUGUAAAGGGGCUUACGGGCGGCCAGAGCAUUGCUCAGACUUGGAAUCGAAAGCUACUUGUCAAGACCGAACGCAGGUUGUUGGAGCCGGUGCAGCUUAAUGGCUGGCUGUCCCCGUCAGAAAGUGCUUUGACUUGGAGAAGGAGGCUACGGCUCUGCAAGUGCAAUCCCCAUGCAGAGCUGAAUGUUCUCUGGCUCCCAAGCCUGGAGACAGCUUUCUGAUGGACUAGACGUGUCGGAUUGCGCACUCGCCGCCGGCCACCUUGGGCUUCCCUUCCCGUGAGGGGAGAUGAGACGCCGAGGGCUUUGGGAACAAGGAAUCCACGGGGCGGGGGAAGGGGGGGUAGGAUGGUCAGGAAAGGCCCCAACCCUCAGGUCAGGGGGUAAGUCCUGUGACAGCCUGGAAGCGUAUUCAAGGUCGAGGGACAGCCAGGGCACAGGUCGCCAGUCCAGCCAAUACAGAGGAGCGUGAACAUGAGGGGUUAUGAGGAGGCUGGGAGGAGACGGGACCAGGGACCUUUUUCCCCAGCGGCAGGCUGCGUUACAAGUAUUUCCUGUCUGAGCUGGCACAUCUGCCCAUUGAGCCGACCCCCGGUCUGCAGAGGGAGCGCUCUUCCCUGGCAGCUGUAGAGGCUUGCUCUUGGCUCUACUGAAUCCUGACGGGGCGAGUGACAGGGACAAACAGCGUUUGGAUGUGACAGGUAAGUUCCUGCAGCCAACCUGUGCCUUCACCUCGUCGGGGAAGCCAGAGAGGCCUGCACGUGGCUGCUGCCUCCGAGGGGCAGGGACCCGCCCCUUGGUGCCAGGCUCGCCUCCCCAUGAAGCCACCACCUGUAUUCCUGCCCGUUUGCACCUCGGAGAACAGCUUGCUUGCUGUUCCAACAAAGAGUCGCGUGGAGCCGCAUGAGCUGUCGGAGGGUCACAUGUCUUCCGGGCCGGCCCGUCCACUGUGCGGUGUGGUGGUUCGCAACACCGCUUCAGAAGGGCAGCCGCCCUCAGCAGGACAUGGAGAAUAUCGCGUGGAAUUAAAAUAAGACUCUACCUCCUUUGCACCCCAAAUUCCUUUGCACCCAAAUUCCACGACUUGGGUUUUUGAUACUGACCUGCCUGAGGCUGGCUGUCCCCAGCGGGUGCAUUUCUUUAAGUCAAACCGACACGUGUGCCCACGUGAGUUAUGGCCAAAGCUCCUGCAAAUGGCCUUCACUAAUGUGCUGUCUUUGUUCCAAAUUCCUUCAGCCCUUUGAAGGUUAACGAGGGAGAUAAAAAGAAGAUAUUAAGUCAAAAUGAAAUAAAGUGUGCACUUCCUCUGGU